UACAGAGGGGGCAAGCGUUGUUCGGAAUUACUGGGCGUAAAGGGCGCGUAGGCGGCCCGCUAAGUCGAACGUGAAAUCCCCGAGCUCAACUCGGGAACUGCGUCCGAUACUGGUGGGCUUGAAUCCGGGAGAGGGAUGCGGAAUUCCAGGUGUAGCGGCGAAAUGCGUAGAUAUCUGGAGGAACACCGGUGGCGAAGGCGGCAUCCUGGACCGGCAUUGACGCUGAGGCGCGAAAGCUAGGGGAGCAAACGGG
rnacentral:rRNA from 1 species